GCUUAACACAUGCAAGUCGAGCGAGAAUCGUUUAUUGAAGGCUUCGGCUGGAAAUAGAUGAGGAAAGCGGCGAACGGGUGAGUAACGCGUGGGCAACCUGGCCUUAAGAAAAGGAUAGCUCCCGGAAACGGGGAGUAAUACUUUAUGAGAAUGAGAGAGGGCAUCCUACUUUCAUUCAAAGCGCAAGCGCUUAAGGAUGGGCCCGCGUAUCAUUAGCUAGUUGGUGAGAUAACAGCCCACCAAGGCAACGAUGAUUAGCCGGUCUGAGAGGGCUAACGGCCACAUUGGAACUGAGAGUCGGUCCAAACUCCUACGGGAGGCAGCAGUGGGGAAUAUUGCGCAAUGGAGAAGAACUCUGACGCAGCAAUACCGCGUGAGCGAAGAAGGUCUUCGGAUCGUAAAGCUCUGUUAUCAGGGAAGAAGAAAAUGACGGUACCUGAUGAGCAAGUCCCGGCUAACUACGUGCCAGCAGCCGCCGUAA
rnacentral:rRNA from 1 species